AGCCCCCGGGAGUCCAUAACCCUUUGUUGGCCGACUCUGUUGCCUCCGGGGCGACCCUGCCUUCGGGCGGGGGCUCCGGGUGGACACUUCCAACUCUUGAGUAACUUUGCAAUCUGAGUAAACUUAAUUUAUAAAUUAGAACUUUUAAACGGAUCUCUUGGAUCAGGCCUCCAUGAAGAACUCAGCGAAAUGCGAUAAGUAAUGUGAAUUGCAGAAUUCACUGUAUCCUCGAAUCUUUGAACGCACAUUGCGCCCCCUGGUAUUCCGGGGGGCAUGCCUGUUCAGCGUCAUUUCACCACUCAAGCCUCGCUUGGUAUUGGGCAACGCGGGCCGCCGCGUGCCUCCAAUCGACCGGCUGGGUCUUCUGUCCCCUAACCGUUGAGGAAACUAUUCGCUAAGGGUGUCGGGAGGCUACCGAAAACAAACCCAUUUCUAACG
rnacentral:sRNA from 1 species